GGAGUCUCUUCGGUUUUCCUGUUUCAGAUACUUUACUAACUGUGCUGGCAAUUGCCAUACUUCCGGAAGUCUCCUGCAGCACUCCUGUUUGUUUCAGGGCCAGAGGAUCCUAGGCCCUGCUUUAUAGAACAGGAGGGGCACAAGCAAAGUUGCUCUACCACCUUUAGCUUGCAUGUU
rnacentral:lncRNA from 1 species